rnacentral:rRNA from 1 species
UACGAAGGGGGCUAGCGUUGCUCGGAAUCACUGGGCGUAAAGCGCACGUAGGCGGAUUCCUAAGUCGGGGGUGAAAUCCUGGAGCUCAACUCCAGAACUGCCUUCGAUACUGGGAAUCUUGAGUCCGGAAGAGGUGAGUGGAACUGCGAGUGUAGAGGUGAAAUUCGUAGAGAUGUGGAGGAACACCAGUGGCGAAGGCGACUCUUUGGCCUGUAACUGACGCUGAGGCGCGAAGGCGUGGGGAGCAAACAGG